ACGAACGCUGGCGGCGUGCUUAACACAUGCAAGUCGAACGGAAAGGCCCUGCUUUUGUGGGGUGCUCGAGUGGCGAACGGGUGAGUAACACGUGAGUAACCUGCCCUUGACUUUGGGAUAACUUCAGGAAACUGGGGCUAAUACCGGAUAGGAGCUCCUGCUGCAUGGUGGGGGUUGGAAAGUUUCGGCGGUUGGGGAUGGACUCGCGGCUUAUCAGCUUGUUGGUGGGGUAGAGGCUUACCAAGGCUUUGACGGGUAGCCGGCCUGAGAGGGUGACCGGCCACAUUGGGACUGAGAUACGGCCCAGACUCCUACGGGAGGCAGCAGUGGGGAAUAUUGCACAAUGGGCGGAAGCCUGAUGCAGCAACGCCGCGUGCGGGAUGACGGCCUUCGGGUUGUAAACCGCUUUCGCCUGUGACGAAGCGUGAGUGACGGUAAUGGGUAAAGAAGCACCGGCUAACUACGUG
rnacentral:rRNA from 1 species